rnacentral:sRNA from 1 species
AAAUGCCAAUUUCCUUAAUUUUGUUUGAUCCUAUGCUUGUUUGUAAAAGAAAAUAUUUGCUUGCAUAUAAACCUUUUGUCUUUAUUGUGCUCUGACGUUUUAAUUUUGGAGUUAUAACUGAGUUACAGUGUUACGUCUCCCUGUUUGUCCAAAAAAAUAUCUUGGUUACGGGCUAUAGACGUUACAUUUGGUUGCAUCUUAUUGAUUUUUAUUAAAAUCGUUGUUUGAUUGUACCAAACGAUUUCUUGGUUUCUCCGUUGAGGCUUCAUUUUUCAUCCAGAAGUUUAUAGUGUACUUGUAGUUGGAUUCCUUGAUUUUGAAAUGUUCUUCUUGCAUUGAUUCUUCAAAUUUCCUUUUUGGAGUUUCCAAUUUUGUUGGCUGUCACAGUUUGUCUAACUUAAGUUUGAUUGAACUUUGAUUUCUGGUUUAUGAAAACAAAAUAUUAUUUGCAUUGAAGCCCAACCAUUUUAUUUUGCUCUGACGUUAAGUUUGAACUUACAAUUGAGUUGCAGAGUUGUGUCUUCUUGUUUAUUGAAAACAAAUAAUUUUGUUGUGAGCUGGACCCUUGAAUUUUGGAGCACCUAUAAGUUUUUAUGAAAAUCACGGUUUCCUUAUAUCAAACUUUUCUAGGUUUAUGCCUUGACACUUUAUUUUCUGUUGGCUCUGUUGAACUUUGUGCUUUUAAUUGGAUUACUUCAUGUUUGAACGUUCUCUUCUAUUAAUGCUUUUGAUAUGCUAUUUGGACUUUAAACCUUUACUUUGGUUUUUCUUGUGACGGUUGUUUUUUCAUCAUUGAUUUUCAGCUUGGUACUUUAAGUUUGAUUUAUUCAAUUACAAAGUUUCUGAUUUUGGAAUUUCUCUUUGGACUUUAAAGCUUUAAUUUAGUUUUGAAAUCUCAAUUUCCUAAAUUUUGUAUGAACUUAUGCUUAUAAGUUUGUGAAAAGAAAAUAGUUGCUUGCAUUUAAACCUUGUGGCUUUUUUGUGCUAUGAUGUUUUAAUAGCAUACUUGUAACUAAUUUAAUUUCUAGAGUUGCGUGUCCCUGUUUAUCGAAAAAAAAUAUCUUGGUAACGGGCUAGAAAUCUACUUUUGGUUGCAUCCCGUAGAUUUUAUGAAAGUUGUAGUUUGCUUGUUCCGAGCGAUUUAUUGGUUUUUCUAUAAGUUCAAAAUUUGUACUUUUAGUUGGAUUCCUUUAUUUUCAAACGUUCUUCUUACAUCGAUUCUUCAAUUAUCCUUUCUGGAGUUUCCAAUUUUUUCGGUUAUUACCAUUCGUCUUCCUUAAGUUAGUUUGAACUUUGAUAUCUGGUUUAUGAAAACUUUACUUUGGUUUCUCGCGUGGCAGCUAUUUUAGUUGGAUUUCUUCAAUUAUAAAGUUUCUCUUUUUUGAACUUCUCUUUGGACUUUAAAGUUUUAUUUUAGUUCUGAUGUCUCCAUUUCCUAAAUUUUGUAUGAACUUUUGCUUACUAGUUUGUGAAAAGAAAGUAGUUGCUUGCAUUUAAACCUUGCGGUUUUUUCGUGCUCUAACAUUUAGACUUGUAACUAAGUUCUAGAGUUGCGUUUCCUUGUUUAUCGAAAAAAAUCUUGGCUUGCGGGCUAGAUGUCUAUAUUUAGUUGCAUCCUUUUGAUUUUAUGAAAAUCGUAGUUUGCUUGUUCUGAACGAUUUAUUGGUUUCUCCGUUGACGCUUUAUUUUUCAUUCAUAAGUUUAAAUUUCGUACUUUUAGUUGGAUUCCUUGAUUUUGUAACAUCCUGCUUGCAUCGAUUCUUCAAAUAUCCUUUUUGAAGUUUCCAAUUUUUUUUCGUUGUCACGGUUCGUCUUUGUAAAGUUUGUUUGAACUUGUUUUCUGGUUUAAUAAAACAAAAUAUUUGUUUUGCAUUGAGGCCUAACCUUUUUAUUUUGCUCUGACGUUAAUUUUGAACUUAUAGUUGAGUUGUAGAGUUGGGUCUUCCUGUUUAUUGAAAACAAAUAACUUUUUGUGAGCUAGACUCAUGCAUUUUGUUGCACAUCUAAGCCUUUAUAAAAAUCACGGUUUCCUUGUAUCAAACAAUUCUAGUUUUCUCCCUUGAUGCUUCAUUUUCCAUCCUUUUGUUUAAACCUUAUGCUUUUCGUUGGAUUUCCUUAUUUUUGAAAGUUCUCUUGUAUUAAUGCUUUUGACAUGCUAUUUGGACUUUAAAACUUUAUUUUGGUUUCUUGAGUGACAUUUGUUUUUUCACCCAUGAAUUUUGUUGUAGAGGUUCGUCUCCUGUGUAUUGAAAACAAAUAACUUAGUUGUAAACUGGACACAUGCAUUUUGUUGUACCUUGAAGCUUUUAUGAAAAUCGCGAUUUCCUAGUAUUGGUCCUUUUUAGGUUUGUCCCUUCACGUUUCAAUGUUCCGUCCUUCCAUUCAAACUGAACGCUUUUAGUUGGAUUUCUUUUUUUUUUCGAACUUUCUCUUGUAUUAAUGCUUUUGAUGUUCUAUUUGGACUUUAAAGUUUUAAUUUAGUUUUGAAAAAUUAGAUUUCCUAAUUUUUGUUUGAACUUAUGCUUACUAGUUUGUGAAAAGAAAAUAUUUGCAUGCAUUUAAAUCUUGGGCUUUUUUGUGCUCUACCAUUUUCAUUUUUGACUUAUAACUAUGUUCUAGAGUUACGUCUUCCUGUUUAUCCAAAAAAUAUCUUGGUUGCGGGCUAGACAUCUACAUUUGGUUGCAUCCUAUUAAUUUAUGAAAAUCGUUGUUUGCUUGUUCCGAACGAUUUAUUGGUUUUACCAUUGACGAUUCAUUUUUCACCCAUAAGUUUUAAUUUUGGACUUUUAGUUCGGUUCCUUCAUUUUGUAGCGUUCUUCUUGCAUAUAUUCUACACAUAUCCUUUUUGGAGUUUCCAAAAUUUUUUUUGGUUGUCACGGUUUGUCUUCCUUCGGUUUGUUUUAACUUUGUUCUUUGGUUUAUAAAAACAAAAUAUUUUUUUUGCAUUAAGGCCUAACUGAUUUAUUUUGCUCUUAUAAUUAUAAUUGAGUUGUAGACUUGGUUCUUCCUGUUUAUCUAAAACAAAUAACUUUGUUGUGAGCUGGGCCCAUGCAUUUUGUUGUACCUUGAAGCUUUUAUGAAAAUCAAUGUUUCCUUGUAUCAAACAUUUCUAGGUUUCUCCCUCGACGAUUCAUUUUCUGUCAUUUCGAUUAAAGCCUGAUAAGCAAUUAGUUGGAUUUCUUUAUUUUUGAACGUUCUCUUGUAUUAAUGCUUUUGACACGCUAUUUGGUCUUUAAAACUUUAUUUUGGUUUCUCGAGUGACGGUUGUUUUUUCAUCCUUAGUUUCAACUUAGUACUUUUAGUUUCAUUUCUUCGAUUAUAAAUUCUCUUUUUUGAUCUUCUCUUUGGAUUUUAAAUAUUUAUUUUAGUUCUGAAAUCUCAAUUUCCUAAAUUUUGUUUGAACUUACGCUUAAUAGUUUUUGACAAGAACAUAUUUUGGUGCAUUUAAACCCUGUAGUUUUUUUUGUUCUCUGACAUUUUAAUUUUGGCCUUAUAAAUAAAUUCUAGAGUUACGCCUCCUUUUUUAUCGAAAAAAUAUUUUGGUUGCGAGCUGGACGUUUACAUUUGGUUGCAUCUUAUUGAUUUUAUGAAAAUCAUAGUCUGGUUGUACCAAACGAUUUCUUGGUUUCCCGGUGAGGCUUCAUUUUUCAUCGAGAAAUUUACAUUUUGUACUUUUAUUUGGAUUCCUUGAUUUUUAAACAUUCUUCUUGCAUCGAUUCUUCAAAUAUCCUUUUUGGAGUUUCCAAUUAUUUUUGUUGUCACGGUUCAUCUUCCUUAUGUUUGUUUGAACUUUGUUUUCUGGUUUAUAAAAAUAAAAUAUUCUAUUUGCAUUAAGCCUUGACCGAUUUAUUUUGCUCUGUUGUUAAGGUUGGACUUUUAAUUGAGUUGUAGAGUUGAGUCUCCCCGUUUAUUGAAAAUGAGCUGGGCCCUUAUAAUUUGUUGCACGCUCAAUCUUUUCAGAAAAUCACAGUUUCCUUGUAUUGAACAUUUCUAGGUUUCUUCCUUGAUGCUUUAUUUUCUGUCCUUUAAGUUUGAUUUCUUCAAUUACAAAUUUUCUGUUUUUGGAACUUCUCCUUGGACUUUAAAGCUUUAUUUUAGUUUUGAAAUCUUAAUUUCCUAAAUUUUGUAUGAACAUAUGCUUACUAGUUUGUGAAAAGAAAAUAUUUAGCUUGCAUUUGAACCUUGCGGCUUUUUUGUGCUAUGACGUUUUAAUAGUAGGCUUAAAACUAAUUUAAUUUCUACAGUUACUCUACAUUAUUUAUCG